GACAGAGGGGGCAAGCGUUGCUCGGAAUCACUGGGCGUAAAGGGCGCGUAGGCGGGAUGGCAAGUCAGUCGUGAAAUCUCUCGGCUCAACCGAGAAACGUCGGCUGAUACUGCCGUUCUUGAGGGAUGCAGAGGAGACUGGAAUUCCCGGUGUAGCGGUGAAAUGUGUAGAGAUCGGGAGGAACACCGGUGGCGAAGGCGGGUCUCUGGGCAUCUCCUGACGCUGAGGCGCGAAGGCUGGGGUAGCGAACAGG
rnacentral:rRNA from 1 species